ensembl:lncRNA
AUUUCACAUUACAACGUAAUAAAGGUAUAACCGAAAUGAAGCUUUCAGAAAACAGUACCUAAACUUACUAUGAAGGAUGUAACUCAAUCUAUUUCAUUGUAUUAUCCUAUUUUAUUUAAAAAAAUUUUAAAUUACUUUUUAUUUUUUUGAUCAUGCCUAUAGCAUGUGAGAUUCCUGGGCCAGGGACUGAACCCACACCACAGCAGGACUUGAGCCACUGCAGUGACAACACCAGAUCCUUAACCUGCUGCACCACAAGGGAAUUCUGUAUCCCAUCUUUAAAAAUGCUGUUUGCCCCCUUAUAAUGGAUUUCAUGAUCUAUUAAUGGAAGCAACCCUCAUUUGAAAAAUACUUCUUAAAGUGAAUAAAUGACCCCUUUCUCUAUGCAUGUGAUACAUAGUCUGUUAUACUAUUUAUCACACUCUACAGUAACGAUGUUUGCAGCCUGUCUUCCUCCUAAAUAUGCACGCACCACCGAAAAGUCAGCACACCCUUGGACAGUUACCCAGCCGUUGACAAAUACAGUGUGGUCUAUCAGCAACUCCCAAGAGGCUGAGCCUGGAAAUCAUAUUAGUUUCAAUCCUUACAUUAACAGCAAUUUAAAAAACAGCCAUUGUAUUCCGGUACAAUUUAACCAAGGUGUAAAUUUUUCUUCCCCUCAAAAAUAAAAACCACGUAUAGGCAAAACCAACCAGAAAAAUAUUUUGUCGGGUUGCUAGCUUGUCAAGAUAGCACAAAUGUGGGCAAUCAAAUCUCUUAUUUAGAUACUGAGAAGCAAAUAUUCAAAAACCUCAAAACCCUCCUUCCGUACCACUUCAGAAAGGAACCCCCCUCCUCCGCGCGCGCGUGCAGGGCGGGUGCAGAUAGAGGCCUUUCUAUCUGUGCUGCCUAAAGCUCCAUGUCUCACCAGGCUGUUUCCAUCAAUACAAGCCCAUGAAAAAAGUAGAAGAAAACAAAACAAAACAAAACAAAACCAGAGUAGCUCAAAUGAACCGCACUAAUGAACCGGGCAAGUUCCGGUGUAAAUGGUACCUGUGAUGGAUGCUGGGGAGACUGCAGCCACAGGGGGAGGGAGCCUUUUUCUGCAGCACGUGGCUCCGUUGACAGGAAACCUGCCUGCAACACCCCCCAACUCUGCACACUGCUCAUUUGCAGUACCAUCAUUUGCGUGAUGCUAAUUUGCUCAAUGUCUUCCUAAACGUCCUCAGAGAAUCACUGGAAGUAUUUGUAGGCUUGGGGCAGCUGGCCCUAGGACAGGCUGGAAGUGGAGGAGGGACCAUCACCAAGUGUCACUGAAAUGCUCUAGGGGCCAGAAGACAGAAGAGGCAAUUCUGUUCAAGGAGACAGGGGAAGAGGAGUCACUUUAAAGCUGGGUUUUAAAGGAUGGAUAAGAGUUCUCUGAACCAUAUAGGGAAGGAGAGGAGAGAGCUCCAGAGAAAGGAACUUUACCUGGGGUAGUCACUAUUAAAAAUGAAUGAGGGGGGUGCCAGAAGGGUAGAUGGUGAGAGGCUUGCCCAUGGCUGAGAGUCUGGAUGAUUCUUUAGGCUGCCCCUUUCCAUAAGUUGGAUCACAGUGCGAUAGGUUGUGAAAUCAGUAAGAUUGUGACCAGCUUUCAUAAAAAAUGAAAUUUCAGGGAGUUCCCUGGUGGUCUAAUGGUUAAGGAUCCAG